rnacentral:rRNA from 1 species
GCGAGCGGCGAUAGCACAGAUAAUCUACUAGUUCCCAAUAAAUCACUGAAGUUAAUCAACGUUGAACGUGGUUAAUAGCCGGAUGGGUGACCAUCUGGACAAUCGCGUGCUAUUGGCC